GCCCGCCUAGCUCAAUCGGAUAGAGCGUCAGACUCUUAUCCGCACGACUUGGCUCGUCGGGCAAAUAUCUGAAGGCUGCGAGUUCGACCCUCGCGGUGGGCU